UACGAAGGGGGCUAGCGUUGUUCGGAAUCACUGGGCGUAAAGCGCACGUAGGCGGCUUUCUAAGUCGGGGGUGAAAUCCUGGAGCUCAACUCCAGAACUGCCUUCGAUACUGGAAAGCUCGAGUCCGGGAGAGGUGAGUGGAACUGCGAGUGUAGAGGUGAAAUUCGUAGAUAUUCGCAAGAACACCAGUGGCGAAGGCGGCUCACUGGCCCGGUACUGACGCUGAGGUGCGAAAGCGUGGGGAGCAAACAGG
rnacentral:rRNA from 1 species